rnacentral:lncRNA from 1 species
GGGUUGGGAAAGUUCUCGAGAAACUGAGAAGAAAGGAGAUUUAAAUUGAUUAACGGGUUGGUUCAGGUUAACGAAUUGAGUCCAAAUUCGAGUCAAUCCAAUUUGAUUUAAAGAAAAUAAAUGGAUUUAGGUUAGCCCGGAUUGGGUCUGAUCUAAAUACAACCGAGUUCAAUCAGAUUAGGAUUUAAAUUGAUUAAGCCAAAUAAAAUUUAGUUGGGUUGAGUCCAAGUUUAAUUGGGAUCUAAUUAAAUUGUUAAUUGAACUAAGUCUUCAUUUGGGCUCGUUUGGGGCUCGGAUUUAAACGGGCCUCAUUUUGGACUCGAGCUCGGACUCAUUUGACUAAUGAGCCAAAUUCGAGCCGGGCUUUUACCG